UCAGUUACAUGCAGACGCUUGAGAAGUG
rnacentral:piRNA from 1 species